UCUGGGGUAAACGGAUGGAGCCCUAACGCUCGAAAGAGGAGAUUCAGUAUCCAGUCCCAGCUGCCGCACCGCGUCGCGGGGAAAGCGGGCCGCCUCGGCGACCCGUGGCCCGCGGCGCGUUCUUGCGCGCAGGGGGGGGAGCGCACUUCUCCUCGAGUAGGACGCCGCGACCCGUUGGGCGUCGGUCUAAGGCCCGGGUGCGAGCCCGCCGCUCUCGUAGCGGCGGAGCCCCGGUGUCCCGGCCGUCUGCCCGACGGUGGGUUAAUGGGUGUCUGCCCGCGAGCUAUCAGCUCGCGCCCGUGCCUCGCGCGAGCGCGCGUUCGGACCCCGCGUCGCGGACUCGUUCCGCAGCGGACCGACCGCCGCUGUCUGCGCGGGGAUUUCUCGGGCCGUGGCAGUCCCGUUGGCGGCGGAGAAAAAGGGCGGCCCAUCCGGCCCGUCUUGAAACACGGACCAAGGAGUCUAACACGUGCGCGAGUCGUCGGGCACCGCUACACCCGAAGGCGCAUUGAACGAAAAGGCCGGUCCUCGUGACCGGCCGAGGGAUGAUGGAGGAGGCCUCGGUCUCCUCUCGCAAUCCCGGGGCGUCUCGUCCUACGUCCGCUCGUCGGUCGAAGGUGAGGCGCACCAAGAGCGCACGCGUUGGUACCCGAAAGAUGGUGAACUAUGCCUGGCCAGGACGAAGUCAGGGGAAACCCUGAUGGAGGUCCGUAGCGAUUCUGACGUGCAAAUCGAUCGUCAGAGCUGGGUAUAGGGGCGAAAGACUAAUCGAACC
rnacentral:rRNA from 1 species